rnacentral:tRNA from 58 species
GGGCGCGUAGCUCAGUUGGUUCAGAGCACUUGGUUUACACCCAAGGGGUCAGGGGUUCGAAUCCCUUCGCGCCCACAA